rnacentral:rRNA from 1 species
GGAUAAUAUCCUCGGACGGCAUCGUUUGAGGAUCAAAGGCGGGGCAACCUGUCGCAAGAAGAUGAUCCCGCGCUCCAUUAGCUUGUUGGUGAGGUAACGGCUCACCAAGGCUGCGAUGGAUAGCCGACCUGAGAGGGUGACCGGCCACACUGGGACUGAGAUACGGCCCAGACUCCUACGGGAGGCAGCAGUAGGGAAUAUUGCGCAAUGGACGCAAGUCUGACGCAGCAACGCCGCGUGGGUGAUGAAGCUCCUUGGAGUGUAAAACCCUGUCAGUGGGGAAGAAACGUAUGGGUAGUAACUGACCUGUACCUGACGGUACCCACAGAGGAAGUCCCGGCUAACUCCGUGCCAGCAGCCGCGGUAAUACGGGGGGGACGAGCGUUGUUCGGAUUUACUGGGCGUAAAGGGCGCGUAGGCGGACCUUCAAGUCGGAUGUGAAAUCUGUCGGCUUAACUGACAGUCUGCAC